rnacentral:lncRNA from 1 species
AGCGUGGAGGGCGGACUGGCCGGGGUCCUCGCGGCCAGGUCGAGCUGGGGCCCCGGGAGGAGGCGGGAAGCCCGACUGCUCGCCGCCUCUCGCUGCCCAGGGUCGAUGCCAGGCUCUGGCCCGGGGGCCCGCAGCUCCCAGCCUUUCUCGGCCACGACUGCAGGUCCCUGGGCCAUGGCUGGAUACGCAGAAGUUCACAGGAGCAGGUGGAGUUGGGGCAGUUGGCCCAAGAGCAGUCGGGGAUUUGAACGCCGCUUUUACUAAAAAUCAACAACAGCAACAAACAGUGGCCUCCACUGGGCCUGCAGCUGUCCAGAGGAGCUGCACACAAGGAGGACUCCAAAGCAAGAUACUGAGAGAUUCACCACCAGCGCCAGCCCCUGGAGCAGAGGCCUAAACAUCUCCAGUCUUUGCCUGAACCUGCUGUCACCAUGGAUUCCAGCAGAGCCUCCUCAGAGUGGAGACAGCCCCGGAAGACACAGCCACCUCACAGAGACCAAGCUGUCCCCACAGUGAGAAGGAUUUCACUGGAGCUGCAAACCAGACCGAGGCAGUGAUCAGCAGGCCCUGGCCUGCUCAGCACCCCUCUGUGGCGGGCUGCUCCUCUUCGGACAGGCCAGCCUGGCUUCCUUUGUCAGGAGCUGAAGUCCUCCCUCUGUUUGCUCUCACUCUCCUUUGUCAAGGGACCAUCUCAUCCUUGACUUUUCUCCCCCUCAAGCCAAAGUCCCUUCUUAUUCUCUGUAACUUUCCAAUUAAAGCUUGGCUGUAAAUCCCUGGUGUUGCCUCAGUGUUAAUUUCCAUGCUCACUGAAGGAGGACCCACACUAGCCAGCGACCUCU